rnacentral:tRNA from 1 species
GCCUUCGUGGUGUAGUAGUCAGCACGCUCGAAUCAUAUUUAAGAGAUCUGUGGUUCAAGUCCCGGUGAGGGCA